rnacentral:lncRNA from 1 species
ACAGCAUUAAUUCUCAACUACAUACAUACUCUUUGGUCCCAGAAAAAAAACACAAGAAAUUAAAAUAUUUUGACAGAGCGAAAAGAAAGCAAUCUCAUAGACAAGUGUUUAAGUUUAGACAAAACCACAUGCACAUACCCACACAUUAUACAUAUAGCAAAAGCCAAUUAAUUGGCUACUUUUUGGAGAGUUUUGCAACAUUGGCCAACAACUCUUCCAUUCCCUUAGCCUUCCUCAGAUCCUGUCAACACGAGAAGAGAUGUUAAAGAUUAGAUAUUAUAGCAAUUAUGGUCACAUCAAGUGCUUCUUUGAUUUCAUUUUGUACCUCUUGCAUCCGCUCCUCAUAUAACUUAUCAAGAUCACCAAUUAGAUAAUGGCCUUGAUACAAUCACACACCAAAGAAAAAGUAUUAAAAGCUGAUUAAGACAAUAAAAAUCUCUGCCACUCUCCCUCUC